rnacentral:rRNA from 1 species
UAGGGAAUCUUCGGCAAUGGACGGAAGUCUGACCGAGCAACGCCGCGUGAGUGAAGAAGGUGUUCGGAUCGUAAAGCCCUGUUGUUAGAGAAGAACGUUGGUAGGAGUGGAAAAUCUACCAAGUGACGGUAACUAACCAGAAAGGGACGGCUAACUACGUGAAAGCAGCCGUGGUAAUAUGUAGGUCCCGAGCGUUGUCCGGAUUUAUUGGGCGUAAAGCGAGCGCAGGCGGUUCUUUAAGUCUGAAGUUAAAGGCAGUGGCUUAACCCUUGUACGCUUUGGAAACUGGAGGACUUGAGUGCAGAAGGGGAGAGUGGAAUUCCAUGUGUAUCGGUGAAAUGCGUAGAUAUAUGGAGGAACACCGGUGGCGAAAGCGGCUCUCUGGUCUAUAACUGACGCUUAGGCUCAAAAGCGUGGGUGGCAAUCAGG